GUAGAUGCAGAGAAAAUCACCAACUUGUUACAGUUGCCACAAUAUUUUGAUUUGGAAAUCUACACAACAGGGAGAUUAGAAAAGCAUUUGGAUGCCUUAUUACGACAGAUCCGGGAUAUAGUAGAAAAGCACACAGACACUGAUGUUUUGGAAGCUUGUUCUAGAACUUACCAUGCCCUCUGUAAUGAGGAGUUCACCAUCUUUAACAGAGUAGAUAUUGCAAGAAGCCAGCUAAUAGAUGAACUAGCCGAUAAAUUCAACCGGCUUCUUGAAGAUUUUCUGCAGGAGGGCGAAGAACCUGAUGAAGAUGAUGCAUAUCAGGUCUUAUCAACAUUAAAACGAAUUUCUGCUUU